rnacentral:rRNA from 1 species
AUGAACGCUGGCGGCGUGCCUAAUACAUGCAAGUCGAACGGACAUUCAGCAAUGGAUGUUGUAGUGGCGAACGGGUGAGUAACGCGUGGUGACCUGCCCCGAAGCGGGGGACAACAGCUCGAAGGGCUGCUAAUACCCCAUAUUUCUUGUGGUUUAGAAGCACAAGACGAAAGGUGCAAAUCGCUUUGGGAGGGACCUGCGUCCUAUCAGCUAGUGGUGGAGGAGGUAACGGCCCACCAAGGCUACGACGGGUAGGGACCUGAGAGGGUGACCCCCCACAAUGGAACUGAAACACGGUCCAUACACCUACGGGUGGCAGGCAGUAGGGAAUAUUGCAGAAUGGGCGCAAGCCUGAUGCAGCAACGCCGCGUGCGCGAUGAAGGCCUUCGGGUCGUAAAGCGCUUUUCAGAGGGAUGAGGAAGGACAGUACCUCUGGAAUAAGUCUCGGCUAACUACGUGCCAGCAGCCGCGGUAAAACGUAGGAGGCAAGCGUUAUCCGGAUUUACUGGCGCGUAAAGCGCGUGCAGGCGGUUUGGGAAGUUGGAUGUGAAAGCUCCCGGCCUCAACUGGGAGAGGUCGUUCAAGACUCUCAGACUGGAGGAUGGUAGAGGGAGGUGGAAUCCGGGUGUAGUGGUGAAUGCGUAGAUAUCCGGAGGAACACCAGUGGCGAAGCGGCCUCCUGGACCACUUCUGACGCUCAGACGCGAAAGCUAGGGGAGCAAACGGGAUUAGAGGACCCCCGGUACGUCCAUAGCUGUAAACCAUGUAGACUUGGCGUCGGUGGGUUCAAAUCCAUCGGUGCCGCAGCCAACGCGAUAAGUCUACCGGCCUGGGGACUACGGCCGCAGGUUAAAACUCAAAGGAAUUGACGGGGGCCCGCACAAGCAGCGGAGCGUGUGGUUUAAUUCGAUGUUACACGAAGAACCUUACCAGGUUUGACAUGCAGGUAGUAGGGAACGGAAAACGGGACCGACCCUUCGGGGAGCCUGCACAGGUGCUGCAUGGCUGUCCGUCAGCUCGUGUCGGUGAGAUGUUCGGUUAAGUCCGCUAACGAGCGCAACCCUCGCUGUGUGUUAUACGUGUCACACGGACUGCCGGUCUUAAGCCGGAGGAAGGUGGGGAUGACCGUUCAAGUCAGCAUGGCCUUUAUGUCCUGGGCUACACACACGCUACAAUGGGCAGUACAAUGGGUUGCUAAGCCGCGAGGUAGAGCCAAUCCGCCAAAGCUGUCCUCAGUUCAGAUCGCAGGCUGUCAACCGCCUGCGUGAAGACGGAGUUGCUAGUAACCGCAGGUUCAGCUAUACUGCGGUGCAAUACGUUCCGGGCCUUGUACACACCGCCCGUCACGUCAUGGGAGCUGGCAACACCUGAAGCCGGUAUCCUAACCCGCAAGGGAGGGAGCCGUCGAGGGUGGGGUCGGUGACUGGGACG